rnacentral:rRNA from 1 species
GUAGGUGGCAAGCGUUGUCCGGAAUUAUUGGGGCGUAAAGCGCGCGCAGGCGGUUCUUUAAGUCUGAUGUGAAAGCCCACGGGCUCAACCGUGGAGGGUCAUUGGAAACUGGAGAACUUGAGUACAGAAGAGGAAAGCGGAAUUCCACGUGUGGCGGUGAAAUGCGUAGAGAUGUGGAGGAACACCAGUGGCGAAGGCGGCUUUCUGGUCUGUAACUGACGCUGAGGCGCGAAAGCGUGGGGAGCAAACAGGAUUAGAUACCCUGGUAGUCCACGCCGUAAACGAUGAGUGCUAAGUGUUAGGGGGUUUCCGCCACUUAGUGCUGCAGCUAACGCAUUAAGCACUCCGCCUGGGGAGUACGGCCGCAAAGGCUG